UCUUGGUUCAGGACGAACGCUGGCGGCGUGCUUAACACAUGCAAGUCGAACGGGAGUAUUGAAGAAGCUUGCUUUAGAGAUACUUUAGUGGCGGACGGGUGAGUAACGCGUGAGGAGCUGUCCUAUGCAGGGGGACAACAGCUGGAAACGGCUGCUAAUACCCCAUAAGCCGAGAGGUAAAAGGAUCAAUCCGGCAGAGGAGGUACUCGCGUCCUAUCAGCUAGUAGGUGAGGUAACGGCUCACCUAGGCGAAGACGGGUAGCCGGCCUGAGAGGGCGAACGGCCACACUGGAACUGAGAUACGGUCCAGACUCCUACGGGAGGCAGCAGUGGGGAAUAUUGGGCAAUGGGGGGAAAAACCCCUGACCCAGCGACGCCGCGUGGGUGAAGAAAUCCUUCGGGAUGUAAAGCCCUGUUGUAUGGGAAGAGCGGAAGACGGUACCAUACGAGGAAGCCCCGGCAAACUACGUGCCAGCAGCCGC
rnacentral:rRNA from 1 species